rnacentral:lncRNA from 1 species
CAGCUGCAGCAGUUGUGCACUUGCACAUAUUCACGGAGGGCUGCGAGAUCGGCGAAAGCACCUGCAGGGGCUGGGAGGCUCGCAACUGCUUCGAGCCAGCGUGCGGAUUGGCAGCGCAGUCGCCUCGAGGGCUUUGUUUCCAGGUACUGGCCAAAUGUGACAGUGUGGCUACUCGGGAAGCUCAGAUUAGCGUAGUAAAAGUUUCUACAAAAGAACAGGUGGUUAGUCCAGCACGAUCAAGUCCUUUUAAGGCUUGGUAGUCGGGAACCCUGUAGCUUGGGACGUUAGACGCGCUGAGAGAUAUCUCUCAUUCUGGAGCAAAUCGAUUUGGGUCUCAAGCAAUCUUCACAACAAUCGAUACAAGGCUGUUCUAGUGUGAUCAACGCUCGCGUUGUUCAGAAUAUUGAUACGGCUAGUCAUGACUUCCUGAUUUGAAACCCCAGGAUGCCGAGUACGACCGACUGCAUCCAGCCUUGUUGCACGCUUGUAAUGUUCCGUGAUCAAUAUUUUCAAUAGAAGGAAUAGUGGUGGAACCCACAUGCAUGCCGCAUUAGGACGGGGUGAUGGAACGUGCUGUGACUUUCUAGGUGAUCUCAAUCUGAAAUUCUUUCUAUCGGAAUUGAUCGUCGAGGCCCAACAUCGCACUUGUCUUCGUUGAUGCUCUCCAAUGGCGUAAUUGUCGCCGAUCGCUCUGAUCAAGAUUCUUUAGUUGCUGACUCAGGAGUACAGCUGUCAGCAGCUUUAUCUGCAGGUACCAAGGCCCUGAUUCAGCCGAAAGAUGCCGAACGAUUGCUAUGUUGACGCAGAUUAGCGAUGGAGAGCACGCUGGUGACAGCAGUACUGGCGGUAGCUGCUCUGUUCGUCCUGGCAGCUGCCCAGACGACGGUGCCACCAGACCCGGCAAUAUUCGCUCCGUUGCAGACAGCGGGCGCGACCGGCACCGGUUUCCCAGCAUUCUAUGUGGGCUGCACUGACAACGGGGCCACGCUGCAGGACCUCACUGUCUACGCCAAUGACAACUUCCUCAGGGGCAUAGAG